rnacentral:rRNA from 1 species
GACGAACGCUGGCGGCGUGGAUUAGGGCAUGCAAGUCGGACGGUAGAGCUUUAUCGUAAGAUAGAGUUUGAGAGUGGCGAACGGGUGAGUAACACGUAGGAAUCUACCCUUAAGACGGGGAAACCCCAGGGAAACUUGGGCUAAUACCGGAUGAGAGUGCGAGAGAUUGCAUUUAAAAGGAUGGCGAAAGUUGUCGCUUAGGGAUGAGCCUGCGGUCUAUUAGUUAGUUGGUGAGGUAAGAGCUCACCAAGGCGAUGAUAGAUAGGCGGCCUUAACGGGUGGUCGCCCACACUGGGAUUGAGAUACGGCCCAGACUCCUACGGGAGGCAGCAGUGGGGAAUAUUGCGCAAUGGGGGGAACCCUGACGCAGCGACGCCGCGUGAAGGAAGAAGGCCUUCGGGUUGUAAACUUUUUUGAUCAGGGACGAGGAAGGACGGUACCUGAAGAACAAGCCACGGCUAACUACGUG